GUGUCAGCCGCCGCGGUAAUACGGAGGAUGCAAGCGUUAUCCGGAUUCAUUGGGUUUAAAGGGUGCGUAGGCGGGAUAAUAAGUCAGUGGUGAAAUCCUGCAGCUUAACUGCAGAACUGCCAUUGAUACUGUUAACCUUGAGUACAUUUGAAGUGGGCGGAAUGUGUCAUGUAGCGGUGAAAUGCUUAGAUAUGACACAGAACUCCGAUAGCGAAGGCAGCUCACUAAACUGUAACUGACGCUGAGGCACGAAAGCGUGGGGAUCAAACAGGAUUAGAAACCCUCGUAGUCC
rnacentral:rRNA from 1 species